rnacentral:lncRNA from 1 species
CCUCAAUCAGUAAAUAAAUAUUUUCUAAAUAGAAAUCAACUCAAAUCCAUAAAUAAACAUCUUCUAAGUAGAGAAUACCUCCACGUGGUAAAAGUAGAUCUCAAGUCAAUGAAGCACGUCUCCCUUCCUUGCAAACAGAGAAAGUCGAAAAGCAUUUAGUUGAGCACCCAACCAUUAGAUGCAAAAACAAACACAACAUGCUAAAAUAAAAAACAAAAGUCAAAAGACCUCCUCUAGUUUAUAUUAGAUUUACUAUUUCAAAAAAAGAAAAAUAAUGGAAAAGAAAUCCAUCCCCUUCUUGCUGUCCAGAUGGAGCAUAGGAAUAUCGCUAAAUGACAAAAGCUCUGGCUAAACUAAAUUAGAGUAUUGAGAAUACAAUUUACCAUUUAACCUAUAUUUUUUCAUGCAUUUGAACCUUUUAUAUCUAUUGGUUUGUAUAUUUAAAAAAAAAAAAUGAUAUUCUAUCUAUUCCAUAAAAAUAUAUUUAUAUUUAUUUUUAUAUGGGUUAAAAAUAUAAUUAACAUAUUUAAAUUAAUUAAUUUUAUAUUAUAUGUUCUAAUAUAUCAUUUACUUAUAUUAUUCUCUUACUAUAUUAUUCUUAAAACUAAGAAAUCUUAUUUUUAGUACAUAUUAAAUAGGAUAUAAUAAAAAAGCUAAUAGUAAAUUACUCUUUUAAAAGGAAAAAUGUUUUAUAAUUUGAGCUGAACAGAAAAAGAAAGUAAGCUUUAAUUUAUGGAAGAGAAGAAAUAUGUACUAAUUUUUUAUAUUAUAAGGUUUUUUUGGUCAAUGUAAUUUCACUAUACGCAAGAUUUUAGAAUUAAUAAAAUUUAUUAUUAAAAAGUAAAAUUUAGUAAAUUAAUUGUUACUGCAAUUUUCUUUACUUUUUGUUCGUAAUUUUUGGAGAGCAAAAUAUUUUCUUAGGUUGUCCAAAAAAUAAUUGAAUUCGGUUGGGUCCAAAAAUGGGACCAAAUUUUCAUAAAAACUAAAAUUAAAUCAUUAAAAAUUAUAAUAAAAAUCAUCAAUGAACUGAAUCAGAAUUCGAAAUCGAACCUUCUUAAUCAUUUAGCCUCCCUUUCGGCCCCUGAAUUGUCGAUUUCGGCCUGACUUGACUGGGGUGGUGGCCACUGGGCAGACCCUGUCUGAAAGAAGGCUAAAACCACAGAAUUUACAGAAACAGCCAUGCUAUUUGCAUCUUUAUAGGGCUAUUUCUGUCUUUGGACGUCGGGAUCCCAGUAUCGUAAACGUCACUUAUUAGAGGCAACUUGGACUCCUCACG